rnacentral:rRNA from 1 species
UACGUAGGGCGCAAGCGUUGUCCGGAAUUAUUGGGCGUAAAGAGCGUGUAGGCGGCCCGAUUAGUCCGCUGUGAAAGUCCAGGGCUCAACCCUGGAAUGCCGGUGGAUACUGUCGGGCUAGAGUCCGGAAGGGGCGAGUGGAAUUCCUGGUGUAGCGGUGAAAUGCGCAGAUAUCGAGAGGAACACCAAUAGCGAAGGCAGCUCGCUGGGACGGUACUGACGCUGAGGUGCGAAAGCGUGGGGAGCGAACAGG